GCCGGUUUAGCUCAGUUGGUAGAGCACAUCAUUCGUAAUGAUGGGGUCAGGUGUUCGAAUCACCUAACCGGCACCA
rnacentral:tRNA from 1 species